rnacentral:rRNA from 1 species
CGUUCCCGGGCCUUGUACACACCGCCCGUCACACCACGAGAGUUUGUAACACCCGAAGUCGGUGAGGUAACCUUUUGGAGCCAGCCGCCGAAGGUGGGACAGAUGAUUGGGGUGAAGUCGUAACAAGGUAGCCGUAUCGGAAGGUGCGGCUGGAUCACCUCCUUUCUAAGGA